rnacentral:rRNA from 26 species
ACAAACGACUCUCGGCAACGGAUAUCUCGGCUCACGCAUCGAUGAAGAACGUAGCAAAAUGCGAUACUUGGUGUGAAUUGCAGAAUCCCGUGAACCAUCGAGUUUUUGAACGCAAGUUGCGCCCGAAGCCAUUCGGCCGAGGGCACGUCUGCCUGGGCGUCACGCA